rnacentral:lncRNA from 1 species
UGUCAGGAUACCAUUACAGGAGUCUGAGCCUUAGAGUGAAAGAGGAGUGUAUUCCCUAGGAAGUAUUACACAAAGGAGGACUGGAGACUCCAUUACCCCAAACUAAGCAAGUGACGUAAAAUAGCUAAGGACAGAAACUGUGUCCACUUCAAGUUGCGGCUUGGCCGGGCACCUGCUGAAGAAUGCUUCCGGGACCCCCGACACUAGCCUGCGCUUCCCUGGGAACAGAGGGUUGGAAUUCUCUGAAAGAAGCCAUACCAGGUCUUCCUCUUUGGAGUCCUCCACCUUCUCUCGACCUCACUCCUGAUC